rnacentral:rRNA from 1 species
UACGCAGGGGGCUAGCGUUGCUCGGAAUGACUGGGCGUAAAGGGCGCGUAGGCGGCUUACAUAGUUAGGCGUGAAAUUCCUGGGCUCAACCUGGGGACUGCGUCUAAUACAUGUAGGCUUGAGUGUGAAAGAGGGUCGUGGAAUUUCCAGUGUAGAGGUGAAAUUCGUAGAUAUUGGAAAGACCACCGGUGGCGAAGGUGGCGACCUGGUUCAUUACUGACGCUGCGGCGCGAAAGCGUGGGGAGCAAAAAGG